rnacentral:lncRNA from 1 species
AAAUUACUGCCAGUUGAAAGUCAUUAAUAUACAACUAGGUUUUUGCUUAGUGGACAACAAAUAAAUAGAAGCUACCUUUGACUACUCUCUCUGUGUUUCUUACCAUCUUACCAAUGAUGCUGUAAUUAUAUGUUUCUCACGGCGUCCUCUAAAUUCUUCUCAUCAAAAUGUAAGACAUUAUAUAAAUCUGAAAAGGAGAUUGAGGAGUUCCCGUUGUGGCUCAGCGGGUUAAGAACCCAACAUAGAAUCCAUGAGGAUGCAAGUUCAAUCCCUGGCCUGUCUCAGUAGGUUAAGGAUCCGAUAUUGCCACAUACUGCAGAGUAGGUCACAGAUACUGCUCGGAUCUGGUGUUGCUGUGGCUGUGGCAUAAGCCUGCAGCUGCAGUUCUGAUUCAGCCCCUAGCUUGGGAACUUCCAUGUGCCACAGAUGCGGCCAUAAAAAGAAAAACAUUUAAAUUUAAAAAAAAAAAAAAAAAAGGAGGUUGGAAAAUUGUCUCCUCUGUGUAGCCCCCUUCAGUAUUUCCCUUUUGCAUUGUCUUCUGCCCCUUCUGCACAGUGUAAAAUUAUACAUCUUAUUAUCCCUUCUUCAAAGAUAGCCUUGAGCAUGGGUACCUAUAGGAAGGAUGAGAGAAGGAAAGUUAGUUUGAGUUUUGAAUUUAAACUUUGUGCUCCAGAAAUUCCAUUAAUUGAGUGAGUGUAUGUUUCUUAAGCUUAUCAUGGAAACAAAUGAAAUGCAAGUAUCCAUUUUGUCAUUACAUUAAAUUUACUUGAAAAGAUGUUCCCACAAUAUAAAAAUUAGCUAUUAUGUAGUCAAGAAUUAGGAUCAAGCCUGGAAACUCUCUUUUAAAAACCUUCCUAUAUUUGCUUUUGUAAUUCAGAGCAUAUGCAAGGAAAUAUAGAUAAGCCAUAAAAAUUGCCUUUUUCUUUUCAAGCUUACUGCAGUGUUCAUUAAUUUAUAUAUAUUUUCACUCCUUACAAAAUGAUCGUUUAUAUGAGUAAAAUGGCUUUUUUAUGCUAAUCAUUAACUAUUCUAAGCAAAGAUAAAAUAUUAGGAAAAAAACAGUUAAAUUUCAUUUGGUUUCCUGAUAAAUUUCAGAGUUGACCUGAAUCAUUUUGCUACUUUUUCAAAUUAACUUCCAAAAUCACUAACCUGUAUUAAGAGUUUAGAAGCAUACCUUUCCAAAAUUGAAGAGUAACAUCUAAUUUCCUUAUUUUAAGCAUUUCUUUUACCACUUAAUAAGUUAUAGCUUUGCAAGUAUGAGAGCAUGAUUAAAUUUCUUUUUAGUAUUGCUUUUAAAUAGAAUAAAUUGAACUUUUUGUCAAGAUAUUUUCAGUUUUUAUAUUGUAUUGUAAAUAGCUUGUCAGCUUUGUUAGAGGGUUUUUUUUUUCUUACCAGAAAUAUUUAAGGUUUUUCUAUUAUUAAAAAAGAGAACAGUUGGAGUUCCCGUUGUGGCUCAGUGGUUAAUGAGUCCAAUUAGGAACCAUGAGGUUGCAGGUUCGAUCCCUGGCUUUGCUCAGUGGGUUAAGGAUUCGGCGUUGUCAUGAGCUGUGCUGUGGGUUGCAGACGCGGCUCGGAUCUGGUAUUGCUGUGGCUCUGGCAUAGGCCGGUGGCUACAGCUCCAAUUAGACCCCUAGCCUGGGAACCUCCAUAUAGCAAAGGCAAAAAGACAAAAUAAAAAUAAAAAUAAAGGUUGAUUUUAUUAAGUCUUGAAAUAACUUACUACUUCUAAACAACAUAUUCUUAUUUAUUAAUUUUGGCUAGUUUAAUCUUAAUAUAUCUCCAUAGUGUCCAUUAUUCUAAUUGAACUCAGAAUAUGGAUAUUUUACUAAUACAUCUAGGAAAAAAUGCUUAUUUAUAAAUAUAUGAUUAGGUAAUGACAAGUAUAUAAUUUUUUGCUACCCAUUAACCUAUUCAGAAAGUAACAAGUAUUUUGUGGCCUCCUAUUUUUAAUAUUAGUGAGAUUUGAAUUUAACAUAUUGUACCAAAGGAAAAAAAUUUAGAGAGAUUGAGGUAUAUUAUAUAAAAAUAUGAUUAAACAUAAGAAAUUGAUGGUCAUAUUUUAUGAUUUAUGGUUACAAUUAAAGGAAGUAUUUAAUUACAAAGAAAAUGUAAUAGUAAUAGGAAAGAGAAAAGUAAUACAUUUUUGCUUAUGUCUGAAUUACUAUUAAUUUUUUUAGAAACUAGAAUUUUUAUUAAAAAAAUACUAUUUUGAAAAUACUCAAGCACAGAGUAGAACAAGUAGAAAAUCAGAAUGAAGACAUCUAUUUCUAGCCAUGUAAAAAUUACUUUCAAUGGUUAUCUUAACUCAAAACAACCACAUCUUGCAUAAAAUUAAUAUUACUUCAUUGUUAGGUUUCACAAAUUGAAGUAAAAUUCUUAACAAACAGGGAAAGCAAAAAACAUGGACUGAAACAAACAGGGAAAGUAAAAAACGUGGACUGAAACGCAGUAAACACAUACAAGACACAGGGGUUCAAUAUAAAGAAGCUGGAGGAUCUCAGUGGUUAACAAAUCUGACUAGGAACCAUGAGGUUGCGGGUUCGAUCCCUGGCCUUGCUCAGUGGGUUAAGGAUCCGGCAUUGCUGUGAGCUGUGGUGGAGGUUGAGGUUGUAGAUGAGGCUCGGAUCCCAUGUUGCUGUGGCUGCGGCAUAGGCCAGAGGCUACACCUCCGAUUAGACCCCUAGCCUGGGAACCUCCAUAUGCCGCAGGUGUGGCUCUAGAAAAGCCAAAAAAAAAAAAGGAAGCUGGAGGAUAUUAUCACUUAAAGCCCCCUGGUGGAGUUUUUUCCCUCCUGUUUUGUUUACAGAUUUGUUUACUUUCUCGAAGUCCAGUAUACACAAAAGGAAAUGACCCACCAUGAAUGAGAGUUAGCAGUGCUGACCUAAAACAAGUAGACUGCCAAUUAUUUUUCGGGGGUGGGGGGGAGAUUAGCUUGGGAUCAGUAGAGAAAGGUCAUUUGGAAUCUGCUACCAUGGCAAGCCAUGUGCAAGUUUUAAGUCCCCACAAAGCAAGGAAAGGAGAACUCCUUCAUAGAGGGGAAAAAUGUGGGACAGCUAGAGUAAACAGAGUCCAUGACUUUUCCUUGGCUGAGAUAUUGCCAGGAAAGAGGAAUCUUUCUUCUUCCUAUUUGGCUGUCUUCUCGGGGCAUGAGAGCUCCCUCUUCUGGUAUCCUGACUCCAUUUAAUUGAGGUUUCUGUUUAUUUUUUACAAAUAUAUAAAAGCAAAUCUGAAAUGCUUAAAAUAAUAAUCCAAUAGAAUUGAGUUUACAAAAGUGGAAAACAUAAUCAUCAAAAUGAAAAAUCUUAAAUGGAUAGUAUCUAGUCAGGAAAACAAAAACUAUUCUAAUUAUUUUUUGUAGAGACUAUAUAAUACAGGGACCUAGUUAUACAGGUUAUUAGAAAGAACUGGAAAGGCAAAGAGAGGAUAACUGACAGAGCAAAUAAAAAGGAAAACGGUGUAGUAGGCAGAGCUCAGAAGCAGAUAACAUUUCUUGGUUGGAGUCUCUGAUCCUCCACUCGAGAGGGUGCUGUUGCAGUCACUUUUGGAUCCAUCAAAGUAGUAUCACCCCAACCAUAACCAGAAUGACCAAAAGUCACUGCCUCUUCCCAAAGUGCUAGGUUCCAAAAUCAUCUCACCCCUCUUGCCCAAAAAGCAGUUCUUUCCUUAUGAUCUCCAAUUUGUGCCUUAAGAGUAUUGGGAGAAUUUAGGGAAAAUAAAAAAUAUAUUAAAAAAAAGAGUAUUGGGAGAAUUUAAUAGGAAACUUGUGAGAAGAACCAGGCAUUUUCAAACUCUGCACCUCAUACAGCACAAAGCAGAACAGAGAACAGUGAGGGCUUUAAGAGGAAACACACAGGUUGGCGUAAUGGAUUAUAUAUCUGUUUGAACAUGGCUGAAGGGAGAAUUAGAAGAGAUGUUUUAAAACGAUAGCUCAGCAGUAAUGAACCCAACUAGUACCCAUGAGGAUGCAGUUUCGAUCCCUGGCCUUGCUCGGUGGGUUAAGGAGCCAGCAUUGCCGUGAGCUGUGGUGUAGGUUGCAGAUGCAGCUCGGAUACUGCUGUGUUACUGUGUCUCCAGCAUAGGCCAGCAGCUGCAGCUCCAAUUCAGCUCCUAGCCUGGGAAUUUCAGUAUGCCACAGGUGCAGCCCUAAAAAGCAAAUAAAUACAUAAUUAACAGAAUAAAUAAAAGAAUAAAUGAGAAAAACAAAUACAUGAAAAACAUGUAAAAAAGAGAUUUGUAGGAUAAAAUGUGAAAUUCUGAGGCUAAUUGUAUCCCAAAGAGAAAAUAGAGGAGCAGGUCAAAAUUCCUGUGCUAAUCAGUAGUAGGAUCCUAUCUGAAUAGUCACUGCACUCCAUAUAUAAUGGAACAUUAUUCAGCAAUAAAAAAGGAUAAGAACUUGCCAUUUGAGACAAUAUAGAUGGAACUCAAGGACAUUAUGCUAAGUUAAAUAAGUCAGAGAGAGACAAAUACUAUAUAAUUUCAGUUAUAUAUGAAAUCUUGAAAAACCACAGCAAACAAAAAAACUCUUAGAAGUUCCUCUCAUGGUGCAGUAGUUAACGAAUCCAACUAGGAACCAUGAGGUUGCAGGUUCGGUCCCUGGCCUUGCUCAGUGGGUUAAGGAUCCAGCGUUGCUGUGAGCUGUGGUAUAGGUUGCAGACACGGCUCGGAUCCCACAUUGCUGUGGCUCUGGUGUAGGCCGGUGGCUUCGGCUCCGAUUGGACCCCUAGCCUGGGAAUCUCCAUAUGCCAUGGGAGUGGCCCUAGCAAAGGCA